UGUCAUGUCAUCUGCAAACUUGCUGUUGGAGUUAGAGCAGAACUGGGCCACAUAGUCAUGAAGCAGAAUAGGGGGCCGAGGACACAGCCGGAUGUGUUACUAUCUUUACUGACCAUGGUCGGUUAGCAACUGGACCUGUGACUUACUGAUUCAGGGAGAUGUUGAGUCCCAGUUCUACAGAUAUUUAAAACUAAAAUGUCAAUAAUUUCUUUACUCUCACAGAUAUUGUUUGAUCUGCUGUGUUCCUCCAGUAGAUUGAUUGUUGGCAAAUAAAUACCUAUUGUCACCCCAGUUUAUUGUAUUAAACACACCCUCUUCCCUGCCGCUUAACAAGUUUCUUUCGUCCCCUUUCUAGGUAACAUAGAAACAUAGAAAACCUAUAGCAUAAUACAGGCCCUUCGGCCCACAGUGCUGUGCCGAACAUGUACUUACUUUAGAAAUUGCCUAGGAUGACUCAUAGCCCUCUAUUCUUCUGAACACCAUGUACAUAUCCAAGAGUCUCUUAAAAGACCCUAUUGUAUUUGCCUCCACUACUGUCACUGGCAGCCCAUUCCAUGUAUUCACCACUCUCAGUGUAAAAAACUUACCCCUGACAUCUCCUCUGUAACUACUUCGAAGAACCUUAAAACUGUGUGUGUGUGUGUGUGUGUGUGUGUGUGUGUGUGUGUGUGUGUGUACGCCUUUAACUCCUGGUGGAGUCGUCGGGGCGCCGUCACGACAAACUUUUUGCAUCAAUCUUUUUGGUGAUUGCUCAUCAAACGGUGUGUCUUGGGCAUUGAAACCUGGUGGAGCCCAUCCCUCUCUAGGCUUUUUGGAGCUGUCUGGAUUCGAACUCGGGAGCCUUCGCUCUGAAGUCUGGUGCUGAUGCCACUACACCACCAGCCCCCUUGUUUUAACCAUUUCAGCCCUGGGAAAAAGCCUCUGACUAUCCACACAAUCAAUGCCUCUCAUCAUCUUAUACACAUCUAUCAGGUCACCUCUCAUCCUCCGUCGCUCCAAGGAGAAAAGGCCAAGUUCACUCAACCUAUUCUCAUAAGGCAUGCUCUCCAAUCCAGGCAACAUCCUUGUAAAUCUCCUCUGCACCCUUUAUAUAGUUUCCACAUCCUUCCUGCAGUUAGGUGACCAGAAAUGAGCACAGUACUUCAAGUGGGGUCAGACCAGGGUCCUAUAUAGCUGUAAAAUCACAUUUGGGCUCUUAAACUCAAUCCCAUGGUUGAUGAAGGUCAAUGCACCAUAUGCCUUCGUAACCACUGAGUCAACCUGCACAGUAACUUUGAGUGGCCUAUGGACUCGGACCCCAAGAUCCCUUUGAUCCUCCACACUGCCAAGAGUCUUACCAUUAAUACUAUAUUCCGCCAUUAUACUUGACCUACCAAAAUGAACCACUUCACACUUAUCUGGGUUGAACUCCAUCUGCCACUUCUCAGCCCAGUUUUGCAUCCUAUUGAUGUCCCGCUGUAACCUCUGACAGCCCUCCACACUAUCCACAACACCUCCAACCUUUGUACCAUAAGCAAAUUUACUAACCCAUCCCUCCACUUUUUCAUCUAGGUUAUUUAUAAACAUCACAAAGAGAAGGGGUCCCAGAACAGAAACCUACGGCAUACCAGUAGUCCUCUGGUGGACCUCCAUGGAGAAUAUGACCUGCUUACAACCAUGCUUUGCCUUCUGUGGGCAAGCCAAUUCAGGAUCCGCAAAGCAAGGUCCUGUUGGAUCCCAUUUUCUCAAUAAACCUUGCAUGGCAUACUUUAUCAAAUGCCUUGCUGAAAUCCAUAUACAUUACACAUGCCCCCCCUUUACAAAGGUAGAGUGUUCCUAUGAAACCUUUCUUAAGCCGAAAUAGCAUAAAGCAAAGAACCAUUAACUUAUAUGGGAAAAAUUUUCAUAAUAUCAAAAAUCCUCUUUGUAAUGUGAAAACAAGUUACUAAUGUAGGUCUUUUGUGAAAGCGAAGUGGCGUAAAGCGAACAUUCGUAAGGGUGGGGGAGCACCUGUACAUCUACUGCUCUACCUUUAUCAAUGUGUUUAGUCACAUCCUCAAAAAGUUCAAUCAGGCUUGUAAGGCACGACCUAGCUUUUGCAAAGCCAUGCUGAUUAUUCCUAAUCAUAUUAUGCCUCUCCAAAUGUUCAUAAAUCCUGCCUCUCAGGAUCUUCUCCAUCAAUUUACCAACGACUGGUCUAUAAUUUCCUGGGCUAUCUCUACCUCACUUUCUUGAAUAAGGGAACAACAUCUGCAACCCUCCACUCCUCCGGAACUUCUCCCAUACACAUUGAUGAUGCAAAGAUUCAGAGGUCAUAGGUUAAGGGAAAAUUUUAAAGGGAACAUUAAGGGGGGCUUCUUCAUGCAGAGAGUGGUGGGAGUGUGGAAUGGGCUGCCAGAUGAAGUGGUGAAUGUGGGCUCACUUUUGACAUUUAAGAAAAACUUGGACAGGUAUAUGGAUGAGAGGGGUUUGGAGGGAUAUGGCCCAGGUGCAGGUCAGUGGGACUAGGCAGAAAAAUGGUUCGGCACAGCCAAGAAGGGCCAAAAGGCCUGUUUCUGUGCUGUAAUGUUCUAUGGUUCUAUGGUUCUAUCAUUGCCAGAGGCUCAGCAAUCACCUCCUCCCACAGUAGCCUGGGGUAUAACUCGUCUGGUACUGUUGAUGUUCUGAUAUUCUGAUGGGGAUAUCUUCCAUCUUAAAUAUUGACUCUGUUUGUCAUCCCACAGAUGAAGCGUUAAAGACAUUGGAGAUCAGCUUUAUUUGUCACAUGAACAUUGAAACAUUGAAGCAUACAGGGAAAUUGAUUGCUUGAGUCAGCAACCAACACAAUCCAAGGAUGAGCUGAGAGCAGCAUGCAAGUGUGGCCAUGCUUCUGGCACCAACGUAGCGUGCCCAGGAUUUACCAACCCUAACCAUCGUCUUCGGAAUUAGGGAGGAAACUGGAACACCCAGAAGAAAUGCAUGGACAUGGAGUUGUUGGUGGCGAACUUUGAGCAUGAACAUAGCAAGCCUCAGAAUGCAAGUCAUGGAACAAGAUUGCAAAUGGAAAAUUGUAAUAUUGUUAUUAACCUAUAAAGUACUAACUUUGUUUCUGUUUCUGCCACAGCUGCAUGACCUGAUAAAUAUUCUAGAAUUUUCUGUUGUCAUUACCUUAGUGGAAUAGGAACGUGAGAAUAGAGUAAAUAUUGUAGCUAUUAAACAGAAAUACGAUAAAUAUGCCAGCAGUCAUGGGGAACAGAGCACCGGUCAGACAAUUGUGAUGAGCUUACUUUUAGUAAUGCAUUGCCUUUGUAUCCUAUGACAUGUCUGUUUAGCCAUGUUACAGGGUUAAAAAAGGAAAUGCAUUAGUGGCGACCUUUUAAAAUUCUCCAGAUUCUCUAUUUGUUCCGAUGUAUUGAAAGUUAGCAAAAAUAACACACUUGAUAAAGAAUGAAAAUAAGAGAUAAUAACUAGUUAAUUGUCAUCAGCUUUCUCAAAAUGCUGUGUUACAUUAUAAUGUAAAAGUUAUCAGGUCACCAGGAAUAAUAUAACACAGUUAGGCAUAGUCAACAACAUUUUUAUGAAAAAAAUGACAGAUCUAAUUAAAUGAAAACAUCUGGUGCCUGCAGGUCUCCAAAAGAAUGCCUUUUGAUGUAGCCUCAGGUUAGAUAAAGGGGAACCAGAGGAUGAAAUAUAUCUAGAUUUUAAAAAGAAUUUGAUAACAUUUCACAUGGAGGAUUGCAUUAUGAAAUUAAAACUCCAGAAUUUGGGAAAUUUGGAAAAUAGAUUUGUUUUUCAGAAGUAGUUGUACUAAUCUUCAUCUGAAAAAAUAUAUUUGCACUUGAUAAACACAUCUUGUUCACAUUGCUUCAAGAAUUUUUCUAGUCUUUUUGUAUUUAAAUCCACAAUUAGUUUUAGCAUAGGAUCAUUUGGGAGAAGUGGCACUUAAUGGAGUGAUGAAUGUGUAGAAAUUCUGGGUUUUACUAAAGGAUUAACCUGGCUGCUUUGAGUGAACUCAUUAACUCAUUAAAAUUAACCUUGCAAUUUUUGUGAAUCACUCUUCACUUCAGUCGCAAAAAAAGGGUAAGCAAUUUACAGAUGAAACAGUGAUUAGUGGGACCCAUCUAACAUGAGAAACCCCCAGGGAAUACAUUAAGAAAAACACAUUUGGGAAAAAUUAUCAUGGGAUUAUUGAUGACCGGUAUACCUUCUUCAGAAAACUUGAAAGAAAAUCAGUAAAGUUAACCAAAGGCAAAUACUUAAAUUAUUAUUUAUCAACAAUCAGGAUCUGUGAAGUAAAUAGAAUAAUGAA